GGUCAUCAAACAAUCAAGAAGGCGUGGGGGUCGCAGGCCUCGGGCUGUCCAGUCGGACAUGUGGAGGCAGGAGGUGGUCACCCAAGAGCAGCUCCGGAAGCAGGUCCCGUGAAAUUCCAGAACCUCAGGGAUGCGGGAUGCGCUGAACGUGGUCAGGAAAGGAGGCGAAAGCAGGUGGCAUGAGGGGGGCAGGAGUCAGGGCUGCACCCGCGUCCCCACCACCAGGGACCAUUCAAGCCAAGGGUCUGCAAACCAGGCGCCAGACGGGUUCCUUAAGCUUCUUUUACAGAAGGUCGCUCCAUUUAUUCAGACCUGGUUGUGCUCUCCCGAGGACACGCGAUGAUAUCGCUCGUCGGAGGGCAACGAUCAUCGUCACCAUCAUCACGACUGCCGGCUGCCGUCCCCGUGUCACCCCUCCCCUGUCCCCGGGACCCGACGGGCAGGCAGGCGUCCCCAGCAGCGCCUGAGAGGCUCAGCUUGGGGUCUCGCGGUACAGGGUCCGGCCGAGGCUCAGGCCAGGUGUGCUCCUAAGAGAGUGGCAGAGACUGGGCACACACGCCAGGCCUGGCGAGCACACAGCCCCGGGAGCUGCAGGAGGCAGGGAGGACCCUCCCCGGAGCCCCUGGCGGGAGCACAGCCCCACAAAGCCUUGAUUUCAGACGUCUGCUCCCCACGGAGAUGGAUUCUGUUGUGUCGGGUCACCCACUUUGCACCCGCGGUCCUGGACACGCCAGCCUGGGCCCUGGUGUCUGGGAGGACCUGGGACCUCGCAGACGGGUGAAGGCCGAGACCCAGAGAGGAGCAAGCAGCAGAAACCUUCCCGGGUCAUCGAGGACUGUCCUCACCCACCCUGUGGGGCUCUCACAGAAGCUCCAGGGCUGAGGGACCCUGGACCUCUGGAUUCCAGAGGGUCAAGGGGGCCUGACUGUCAGACACGAUCCACGGGUGCAGACAGCGGGCGGGACAGGGGUCAGGGAGUGCGGAGACCGAGGCCAGUGGAGGCCCCGGGGAGGCUCUGGUCUGCAGCUCACCCCGGAGGCCGGCAAGCCGCGCCCACCAGAGUUGGUACGGGGGUGCCCCCAGCAGCUCCCGGGACACCCCGUCCCCUGUGUUCCAGGGCACGUGCCUCGAGGCUCCCGGAGAAAUGCAUGCUCCCCACAAGGCCGCAGGCUCCAGCGGGGACUUGGGUGAAGACACCCCGAGUGUCUUGGGCUGUAAAUAAAUGACGGAAGCCUGGGGACUCAUAACCAAAGAGACGUACUGUCCCCUGGUCUGCAGCCGGAGUCUGAGAUCGAGUCACCAGUCACUGCUGCGACCCCACGCUGACCUGAGAGCAUCUGCAAAGCCUUUUCGUACCAAUGAGGCCAAGUCCCGGGUCCCGGGGCAGGACGCGGACACAGGUCUUUGGAGGACACAAGUCCACUCGCUGCCCACGCUGGCAAAGGGCCAGGCCUCUGACCGCCGCUGCCUCCCCCGGCCCAGCUGCCUGGUGUGUGACCGGGGCGAGGCGCGCACCCCUGCGCCUACCUCCUCCCCGAAAGAGGAGCGACACGGGGAGCCCUCCGUGGACCGCGGUGCGUGCGCCCGGGGCAUGGCCGGCAGCUCUGAAUCGUCAGCGGACACCCAGGUCGGGAGUUUCAGGAACUCUCCGCUGUUGCCGGAUGCCGACGCUCACGGCCCGGCGGUGGAAGCCACCCUCACGGUGAACAGAGUGCGUGGGCGGGCGGUUUCUGGGGCGCAGCUGGUCCCCGUCUGCAUCUCUCCGACCAAAGCGCGGAGCUUUCUUAAAGUCGGAGACGUGCCCGCCCGCCCAUCCGCACCGGGGCUCUGUCUCCCAGACAGACGUCCACGGAGCCC